rnacentral:rRNA from 1 species
UCAUGGCUCAGGACGAACGCGGCGGCGUGCCUAAUACAUGCAAGUCGAACGCUUCUUUCCUCCCGAGUGCUUGCACUCAAUUGGAAAGAGGAGUGGCGGACGGGUGAGUAACACGUGGGUAACCUACCCAUCAGAGGGGGAUAACACUUGGAAACAGGUGCUAAUACCGCAUAACAGUUUAUGCCGCAUGGCAUAAGAGUGAAAGGCGCUUUCGGGUGUCGCUGAUGGAUGGACCCGCGGUGCAUUAGCUAGUUGGUGAGGUAACGGCUCACCAAGGCUACGAUGCAUAGCCGACCUGAGAGGGUGAUCGGCCACACUGGGACUGAGACACGGCCCAGACUCCUACGGGAGGCAGCAGUAGGGAAUCUUCGGCAAUGGACGAAAGUCUGACCGAGCAACGCCGCGUGAGUGAAG